rnacentral:rRNA from 1 species
CCUACGGGGGGCAGCAGUAGGGGAAUCCUUCCCGGCAAUUGGGGCCAAAAGCCUUGACGGAAGCCAAUUGCCGCGUGAGUGAUGAAGGUUUUCGGAUCGUAAAGCUCUGUUGCCAGGGAAGAACGCUUAGGAGAGUAACUGCUCCUGAGGUGACGGUACCCGAGAAGAAAGCCCCGGCUAACUACGUGCCAGCAGCCGCGGUAAUACGUAGGGGGCAAGCGUUGUCCGGAAUUAUUGGGCGUAAAGCGCGCGCAGGCGGUCAUUUAAGUCUGGUGUUUAAUCCCGGGGCUCAACCCCGGAUCGCACUGGAAACUGGGUGACUUGAGUGCAGAAGAGGAGAGUGGAAUUCCACGUGUAGCGGUGAAAUGCGUAGAUAUGUGGAGGAACACCAGUGGCGAAGGCGACUCUCUGGGCUGUAACUGACGCUGAGGCGCGAAAGCGUGGGGAGCAAACAGGAUUAGAUACCCUGGUAGUCCACGCCGUAAACGAUGAGUGCUAGGUGUUAGGGGUUUCGAUACCCUUGGUGCCGAAGUUAACACAUUAAGCACUCCGCCUGGGGAGUACGGUCGCAAGACUGAAACUCAAAGGAAUUGACGGGGACCCGCACAAGCAGUGGAGUAUGUGGUUUAAUUCGAAGCAACGCGAAGAACCUUACCAGGUCUUGACAUCCCUCUGACCGGUACAGAGAUGUACCUUUCCUUCGGGACAGAGGAGACAGGUGGUGCAUGGUUGUCGUCAGCUCGUGUCGUGAGAUGUUGGGUUAAGUCCCGCAACGAGCGCAACCCUUAUAUUUAGUUGCCAGCA